UUAUGAUUUUAUAUUACAUAUAAAGUAUACACCCAGGUUAUUGAAUACAAAAAGACAGACACUUCAUACUUCAUCAAGCUUCAUGUAUAUGGAGGUGUAAAAGGGUGGGUACGAGAAAAGUUAUUCAUUUGGAGAUAGACAUUUAUUUGGCCUAUUGAUGCAGAGGAAAUAUUUGAGGAGGUAUUGUUUGACAGGAUUGGGCAGCAAACUUUAAGGGCUCGGAUGUUUUCAACCCGCGCAAAAGAUUUAAAUUGAUUGCGUUUAUCUAUACUAUCGUAUAAAGCAUUUCACAAGGGUUCCAACCAAAUUUAAAUAAUUGCAACAUAUUAUGCUUAUAGUACAACAACUCAAUGAAGUUAGUAAAGGGAAUUAGUCUUUCUACA